GAUUACACCACAGAGUAGACAUUUGAACAGGGUCUUAAAGGGAAGGAAUCCUUUUCUCUUAAAAACAACGUUUGAAAACAAGCUACAAGAGCCCUUAUAGAAGAGUGCCAUAAAUAAUUUGUACAUAGAAUUGUUUUUUGCUGAAAUUACUUUAGAGGUCAUGUAUGUUGUAUUUAUAUACCCCCUUCCCAAUAUUUAAGCUCCAUAUAUGACACUCUCUCUUUUCAUUCUGUGCCCGUGGGUUCCAAAUAAUUCCCUGUGCUUCUUCCCAUUCGAGUGCAGACCACUUCACUUCCUGAAUUCUUUAUGGUGGACCCACAUUGUUUCGUAUGAUGAAAUUCAUUAUGAUUCAUUAAACUUGCUCAUAAAAAGAGUUUGAUAUCCCCUGGGGCAAGUUCAUUAAAAGAAUCUCUUUGGUUCAAUUAUGAAUCAUUUCCCCCUGUAUCCAAAGGCAGCUCUUGAGAUGCAGCACGGCAAGGAGGCCUCACAAGGCAGAUUUAGGAAUCCGGCAGCCAAAAAUCAGGGCCUGCACGGUAAUUUCUGAAUAAAAAUAUCGCCGUGGGAGAGGGAACGCCAUAUGGCUGUCUGGUGGUGCUCUCUGCUCGGCGUCAACUGAAUUUCCAAGGACGGACUUGCACAGACGAGAGGUUGAAAUUCAGGAAAUCCUCAGCAACAACGUUGGAGUUGUGUUCAGUGAUGUGCUGGAACCAGUUCACACCAACUCAGGAGGGCCCACGGAGCACGUUCCUUUCCAGCUCUGAGGUCAGUGAUGUCACCGUGGUGGCUUGAAAUUGGCCAUGGACGGUGAGUGGACAAAUGCUACAAAAUGGGCUUUUCCUUCCUCACUUCCUUCUCUCUGUCUCUCUGUCUCUCUCUCUGGAGGGAAUUGUUAAGGGAUGGGUGAGAGACUGAAUUUAGGAGUAUCCCUUUGAUGGAAAAUCAUUUGAGAUUCAGACACUGAAUAAAUUUGAAUCAAACAGUCUGUCUAGCAUGUAGCUGGUAUUAUGUUGGGAAUUCUUGAAUUCAGUGGCCAAGACUUGACCUAAACUAGUGUUCACAGUGGCAAUUUGUUAAAAACAUUUAUAAUUAGAAUAAGGCAAGCCGGUCUUAACAAAGGUAUGGCCAUAAUUACGCAUCCUCUCCCUCUUCAAAUCAAACCUUAACCCCAGCCCUACUGAUUGCUGAAUACAGUCCUGUUAGCUCAAAUUAGAUCUUUUGAUAUUAACACACGUCAAGCUAUUUGGUCAUUUAGGCAGUAAUUCUGAUCCCAGUAGGGCAUUUGGAAAUGGAGAGAAGUGAAUUGCACCCUCCUUUCCUCCCCCACCAGCCUGUGAGCACAUGGCCCAGACAGAGAAGUGUAGCGUGGAAAGACCUACCAAUUCAGAAUCAGCCCACCAGGGUCUGAACUCAGGUUCAGAAUGCUCCCUUGGUCUGACUUUAAUCAAUCUCUUUAUUCAAUUUAUUGUAGUAUUUUAAUGAUUACAACAUUAAUGCUAUAAUUCCAAAAUAUGUUCAGAGCUUUCAAAACAUGGCAAGAAACCUAACAGACUACCCUCUUACUUCUGGGACCUGGGGCAGUGACGAUUAAUGUUGGCAUGUGUCAUCCUCCCACUAUACUUUCUCCAUAUAUUUAAUUAUUUAACUGCCUUGUUUCCCCCCUUUUGCUGGCUUUCCCCCAGAAAUAUGAGGUUAUUUUUUUUCAUUUAACCACAUUUUGUGAAUAUUUUUCUUUGUCAUAAAAUAACGUUGUAUGUGAACAUUAGGAGACUUAAUCACAGCUGAAGAUCAAAAUCACGGGCAAGGGGGCUUCCCUGGUGGCGCAGUGGUUAAGAAUCCACCUGCUAAUGCAAGGGACACGGGUUCGAGCCCUGGUCCGGGAAGAUCCCACAUGCCGCGAAGCAACUAAGCCCAUGCACCACAACUACUGAGUCUGUGUUCUAGAGCCUGCAAACCACAACUACUGAAGCCCAUGUGCCACAACUACUGAAGCCCACGUGCCUGGAGCCCAUGCUCCGCAACAAGAGAAGCCACCGCAAUGAGACGCCCACACACCACAAGGAAGAGUAGCCCCUGCUCACCACAACCAGAGAAAAGCCCACACGCAGCAACAAAGACCCAAAGCAGCCAAAAAAAAAAAAAAAAAAAAAAAUCACGGGCAAGAGACAGUGAACAAAUCCUCUCCACGUGUCUGAGCAUAAAAUAAGAGGACAUUGAGUUAAAAUGUAGUAGGAAAGACUAUCACAAGAUUUUGGCAAGGAAUUCCCACAGCUAUGAUUAUGUUUAAGACACAAGAAACAUCUGGAUUAAAAUUUUACAGGUGAGGGUGGAAGAGAGUUUGUGUGGUACUCUACGGGGAGCUGGAGAGUCUCUGUUCGGUAGCGACUGCUGUGACGGAUAAUUCAUGAGGGAUGAGGAUGAGGCCAGUCUGUCCCGGACAUUUUUGCCUUCCUUUUUCUGAGGUAUUCAGUGACUCAGUUAUAGUUUCAGGUCGUACCCAUACCUGGAACAACUACAUUAUUAGCUGACAGUCUCAGAGAUAAAAAUGAAAGACAAAAACCCUUACUUUGGUCUGCAAGGGAAAAGCAGAUACUGCAUCCGUCAGUCUCAAUGAGGGAGUUCCUUGGUGGCCUACUGGUUAGGAUUUGGUGCUGUCACUGCCGUGGCUGGGGUUCGAUCCCCAGUCACGGAACUGAGAUCCCGCAAGCCACAUGGUGUGACAAAAAAAGAAAAGAAAAGAAAAGAAAAACUCAAUGAGAAAGUCUGUGCAUCAGACCUGCGAUCCUAUUACUGGAGUCGAUGCAUUGCAACUCAGGCACUGAGUCAGGCUCUGGUUGGGCUGUAGUGUGUGGAAAUGUGGAUAAGAACAGGACCUUAUUGCACAGGUUAAUGACAUAAGAAAGGAGGAGGACAGGGAAUUGCUCUCUGGAUGAAGGACAGACAUACACUCUCAUCAGACAUAGACCCAGUUUACUGAAACUGGUUAUUUGCACACAGAGGUGUAUAGUGGAAAUGCCAUUCCUAUACAAAUAAUAUGUUAUAAAUAAAUUAGCCCAUUAAAUAGGCAACUUAAACCUAAUUAGGGUUAAUGAUUUUUUAUUUUCUAAAAGCCCACUUAAAAAAAAUCAAAUUAGUCCUAUCUUACUUUAUUUGGUCAUUUGAACAGGGAGAUUUUUACUGCCACAGCUGUUUACAAGGCUAUAAAACCUCUUUGUAGAUGAGUGGUUUUGGAAGCCCAGCCAGAUUCCAGAUUCACUUCCAGUAUAACUGUCCUGGGUAGUCAGGUCCCCUCCCACUCCCAGAAACUCAACUUCACAAAUGGCAGAAAUGCAGGAAGCGGGUAGAGAGAAGGACCAAUGAUUUCCUUCAGAAAAAGAAAAAAAGACAGAAUUCUUAAACAUGCCACCAUUUUUUGAUAAGAAAAGGCAAUAAACAUUAAAGAAUAAUUAAAAGGAAUGCUUAUCAGGAAUCAAUCCAGCUUAGAAAAUGAAAGGUGUUAUAGAUGUAACAAAGCUUCCUGUUUUUAAUAAGGGCAGGAGAAGGAGGAACAGGGGACCUCUCAGCUGGAAGGAUGGCCCUGGACUCCUCGGACCAAAUUCUAGGGAACUGGGCUCAUGAGACCUAUGCUUUCCUGCUUCCACCUCCCCUCCCUGCAGAUGUAGUCGCUUGCAUCUGCACCCUUGCUUUCAGAGGGUCACGGUAUCUAGUCUUUAUUUGCUCAUUUACAGAAAUUUUUCCAAGGUGAAUCAAUGUACUAAAAAACAAAAAAAGCAUUAGGGCAAGGAAUUGAGGAUAGGAUUUUGCUUGUGAAUCAGCUUUUCUUGAGGGCAGGGCAGGUGAUGAAAAGCAGAGCUGGAUACAGAAAGAACCGGGUUCCGGUCCUGCUCUGUCACUGAAGAGCAGUGAGCUGCUGAUGGUGAGCCCAUCGCUCAGGGACCACAGACAAUUUCUGCAUCUGACAUGAGACAUGUGGGGGGGGGGCAUCAAGUAGAGAUUAAACACAGUGCAGGUAGAAAGCUCAGCAUAGAAACUGUGGCAUGUUCGAGCUUAGUAAAUGAGAGCUGUCUUCAUUGUCCUAAUUCCCACGGCCCAGUAAUGCAGACAGAUCAUGGGGAAUUACGUGGGUGAAGACAUGGAGCUGAGGUAGAAAAAUCCCUGUGCUGAAGGACACAGGAACAUCAGAGAUAGUUCAGGCUUGGUGCAGUGCUCUGCCCUCGCUGUCUGGAGAUUCUUAACGCUUUCUGAACAAAGGAACCCACGUUUUCAUUUUGCUUUGAGCCCUGCGAAUUUGGUGAGGAUCUCAUGGCGAGUAAGAGAAGGUGCCAGCUUCGCAUCCAGCUGUCUGGCCUUGAAGCCCAGCUCUUUCAUCUCAGUGGCUGAUAAGGACCUUUGCAAAGACGCAUAGAAGCUGACCCAGGAGCCACCCAACCCAGCCAACUCAGCACCAUUCCUGGCCUCUGCUGUGAUGGGACUUCAUGAUCCUGAAUGAGUUAAAGGGGCAGAUUAGAUCUUCCGUUCUCAUGGCUGCAGCUGGCUUGGUGAAAAGGGCUGGUGUUUUUGUUUUUAACAUCUUUAUUGGAGUAUAAUUGCUUUACAAUGGUGUGUUAGCGUUUCUGCUUUAUAACAAAGUGAAUCAGCUAUACAUAUACAUAUAUCCCCAUAUCUCCUCCCUCAUGAGUCUUCCUCCCUCCCACUCUCCCUAUCCCACCCCUCUAGGUGGUCACAAAGCACCAAGCUGAUCUCCCUGUGCUAUGUGGCUGCUUCCCACUAGCUAUCUAUUUUACAUUUGGUAGUGUAUAUAUGUCAAUGCUACUCUCUCACUUUGUCCCAGCUUACCCUUCCCCCUUCGCGUGUCCUCAAGUCCAUUCUCAACGUCUGCGUCUUUAUUCCUGUCCUGCCCCUAGGUUCUUCAGAACCAUUUUUUUUUUUGAGACUCCAUAUAUAUGUGUUAGCAUACGGUAUUUGUUUUUCUCUUUCUGACUUACUUCACUCUGUAUGACAGACUCUAGGUCCAUCCACCUCACUACAAAUAACUCAAUUUCAUUUCUUUUUUAUGGCUGAGUAACAUUCCUUUGUAUAUAUGUGCCACAUCUUCUUUAUCCAUUCAUCUGUCGAUGGAUGCUUAGGUUACUUCUGUGUCCUGGCUAUUGUAAAUAGAGCUGCAAUGAACACUGUGGUACAUGACUCUUUUUGAAUUAUGGUUUUCUCAGGGUAUAGGCCCAGUAGUGGGAUUGCUGGGUCGUACAGUAGUUCUGUUUUUAGUUUUUUAAGGAAACUCCAUACUGUUCUCCAUAGUGGCUGUAUCAAUUUACAUUCCAACCAACAGGGCAGGAGGGUUCCCUUUUCUCCACACCCUCUCCAGCCUUUAUUGUUGGUAGAUUCUUUGAUGAUGGCCAUUCUGACCAGUGUGAGGUAUAAUUCAUUAUAGUUUUGAUUUGCAUUUCUCUAAUGAUUAGUGAUGUUGAGCAUCCUUUCAUGUGCUGGCUGGCAAUCUGUAUAUCUUCUUUAGAGAAAUGUCUAUUUAGAUCUUCUGCCCAUUUUUGGAUUGGGUUGUUUUUCUGAUAUUGAGCUGCAUGAACUGCCUGUAUAUUUUGGAGAUUAAUCCUUUGUCAGUUGCUUCAUUUGCAAAUAUUUUCUCCCAUUCUGAGGGUUGUCUUUUCAUCUUGUUUAUGGUUUCCUUUGCUUUGAAAAAGCUUUUAACUUUCAUUAGGUCCCAUUUUUUUUAUUUUUGUUUUUAUUUGCAUUUCUCCAGGAGGUGGGUCUAAAAGGAUCUUUCUGCGAUGUAUGUCAUAGAGUGUUCUAUGUUGUCCUCUAAGAGUUUUAUAGUGUCUGGCCUUACAUUUAGGUCUUUAAUCCAUUUUGAGUUUAUUUUUGUGUAUGGUGUUAGGGAGUGUUCUAAUUUCAUACUUUUACAUGUAGCUGUCCAGUUUUCCCAGCACCACUUAUUGAAGAGGCUGUCUUUUCUCCAUUGUAUAUUCUUGCCUCCUGUAUCAAAGAUAAGGUGACCAUAUGUGCGUGGGUUUAUCUCUGGGCUUUCUAUCCUGUUCCAUUGAUCUAUAUUUCUGUUUUUGUGCCAGUACCAUAUUGUCUUGAUUACUGUAGCUAUGUAGUAUAGUCUACAGUCACGGACCCUGAUUCUUCCAGCUCCAUUUUUCUUUCUCAAGAUUGCUUUGGCUACUCGGGGUCUUUUGUGUUUCCAUACAAAUUGUGAAAUUUUUUGUUCUAGUUCUGUGAAAAGUGUCAUUGGUAGUUUGAUAGGGAUUGCAUUGAAUCUGUAGAUUGCUUUGGGUAGUAGAGUCAUUUUCACAAUGUUGAUUCUUCCAAACCAAGAACAUGGUAUAUCUCUCCAACUGUUUGUAUCACCUUUAAUUUCUUUCAUCAGUGUCUUAUAGUUUUCUGAAUAUAGGUCUUUGUCUCCUUGGGUAGGUUUAUUCCUAGGUAUUUUAUUCUUUUUGUUGCAAUGGUAAGUGGGAGUGUUUCCUUAAUUUCCCUUUCAGAUUUUUCAUCAUUAGUGUAUAGGAAUGCAAGAGAUUUCUGUGCAUUAAUUUUAUAUCCUGCUACUUUACCAAAUUCAUUGAUUAGCUCUAGUAGUUUUCUGGUAGCAUCUUUGGGAUUCUCUACAUAUAUAAUAACAUGUCAUCUACAAACAAUGACAGUUUUACUUCUUCUUUUCCUUUUUGGAUUCCUUUUAUUUCUUUUUCUUCUCUGACUGCCGUGGCUAAAACUUCCAAAACUAUGUUAAAUAAUAGUGGUGAGGGUGGGCGACCUUGUCUUGUCCCUGAUCUUAGUGGAAAUGAUUUCAGUUUUUCACCAUGGAGAACGAUGUUGGCUGUGGGUUUGUCAUAUAUGGCCUUUAUUAUGUUGAGGUAAGUUCCCUCUCUGUCCACUUUCUGGAUGGUUUUUAUCAUAAAUGGGUGUUGAAUUUUAGCAAGAGCUUUUUCUGCAUCUAUUGAGAUGAUCAUAUGGUUUUUCUCCUUCAAUUUAUUAAUAUGGUUUAUCACACUGACUGAUUUGCAUGUAUUGAAGAAUUCUUGCAUUGCUGGGUGCUGCUGGAUUCUGUUUGCUAGUAUUUUGUUGAGGAUUUUUGCAUCUAUGUUCAUCAGUGAUAUUGGUCUCUAGUUUUCUCUUUUUGUGACAUAUUUGUCUGGUUUUGGUAUCAGGGUAAUGAUGGCCUUGUAGAAUGAGUUUGGGAAGUGUUCCUCCUUCUGCUGUAUUUUGAAAGAGUUUGAGAAGGAUAGGUGUUAGCUCUUCUCUAAAUGUUUGAUAGAAUUCGCCUGUGAAGGCAUCUGGUCCUGGGCUUUCGUUUGUUGGAAGAUUUUUAAUCACAGUUUCAAUUUCAGUGCUUAUGACUGAUCUGUUUAUAUUUUCUAUUUUUUCCUGGUUCAGUCUCGAGAGAUUGUGCUUUUCUAAGAAUUUGUCCAUUUCUUCCAGGUUGUCCAUUUUAUUGGCAUAGAGUUGCUUGUAGUAAUCUCUCAUGAUCCUUUGUAUUCUGCAGGGUCUGCUGUUACUUCUCCUUUUUCAUUUCUAAUUCUAUUGAUUUGAGUCUUCUCCCUUUUUUUCUUGAUGAGUCUGCCUAAUGGUUUAUCAAUUUUGUUAAUCUUCUUAAAGAAUCAGCUUUCAGUUUUAUUGAUCUUUGCUACUGUUUCCUUCAUUUCUUUUUCAUUUAUUUCUGAUCUGCUGAUCUUUAUGAUUUCUUUCCUUCUGCUGACUUGGGGUUUUUUUGUUCUUCUUUCUCUAAUUGUUUUAGGUGUAUGGUUAGGUUGUUUAUUUGAGAUGUUUCUUGUUUCUUGAGGUAGGAUUGUAUUGCUAUAAACUUCCCUCUUAGAACUGCUUUUGCUGCAUCCCAUAGGUUUUGGGUUGUUGUGUUUUCAUUGUCAGUUGUUUCUAGGUAUUUUUUGAUUUUCUCUUUGAUUUCUUCAGUGAUCUCUUGGUUAUUUAGUAGUUUAUUGUUUAGCCUCCAUGUGUUUGUAUUUUUUACAGAUUUUUUUCCUGUAAUUGAUAUCUCAUCUCAUAGCGUUGGGGUUGGAAAAGAUACUUGAUACAAUUUCCAUUUUCUUAAAUUUACCAAGGCUUGAUUUGUUACCCAAGAUAUGAUCUAUCCUGGAGAAUGUUCCAUCAGCACUUGAGAAGAAAGUGUAUUCUGUUGUUUUUGGAUGGAAUGUCCUGUAACUAUCAAUUAAGUCCAUCUUGUUAAAUGUGUCAUUUAAAGCUUGUGUUUCCUUAUUUAUUUUCAUUUUGGAUGAUCUGUCCAUUGGUGAAAGUGGGGUGUUAAAGUCCCCUACUAUGAUUGUGUUACUGUCCAUUUCCCCUUUUAUGGCUGUUAGCAUUUGUCUUAUGUAUUGAGGUGCUCCUAUGCUGGGUGCUUAAAUAUUUACAAUUGUUAUAUCUUCUUCUUGGAUUGAUCCCUUGAUCUUUAUUUAGUGCCCUUCUUUGUCUAUUGUAAUAGUCUUUCUUUUAAAGUCUAUUUUGUCUGAUAUAAGAAUUGCUACUCCAGCUUUCUUUUGAUUUCCAUUUGCAUGGAAUAUCUUUUUCCAUCCCCUCACUUUCAGUCUGUAUGCGUCCCUAGGUCUGAUGUGGGUCUCUUGUAGACAGCAUAUAUAUGGAUCUUGUUUUUGUAUCCAUUCAACCAGUCUAUGUCUUUGCUUGGAGUGUUUAAUCCAUUUACAUUUAAGGUAGUUAUCGAUAUGUGUGUUCCUAUUACCAGUGUCUUAAUUGUUUUGGGUUUGUUAUUGUAGGUCUUUUCCUUCUCUUGUGUUUCUUGCCUAGAGAAGUUCCUUUAGCAUUUGUUUUAAAGCUGAUUUGGUGGUGCUGAAUUCUCUCAGCUUUUGCUUGUCUCUAAAGGUUUUAAUUUCUCCAUCAAAUCUGAAUGAGAUCCUUGCUGGGUAGAGUAAUCUUGGUUGUAGGUUUUUCUCUUUCAUCACUUUAAAUAUGUCCUGCCACUCUCUUCUGGUUUGCAGAGUUUCUGCUGAAACAUCAGCUGUUAACCUUAUGGGGAUUCCCUUGUGUGUUAUUUGUUGUUUUUCCCUUGCUGCUUUUAAUAUUUUUUCUUUGUAUUUAAUUUUUAAUAGUUUAAUUAAUAUGUGUCUUGGCAUGUUUCUCCUUGGAUUUUUCCUGUAUGGAACUCUGUGUGCUUUCUGGACUUGAUUGACUAUUUCCUUUCCCAUAUUAGGGAACUUUUCAACUAUAAUCUCUUCAAACAUUUUCUCAGUCCCUUUCUUUUCCUCUUCUUCUUCUGGGACCCCUAUAAUUCGAAGUGUUGGUGCAUUUAAUGUUGUCCAGAGGUCUCUGAGACUGUCCUCUAUUCUUUUCAUUCUUUUUUCUUUAUUCUGCUCUGCAGUAGUUAUUUCCACUAGUUUAUCUUCCAGGUCACUUAUCUGUUCUUCUGCCUCAUUUAUUCUGCUAUUGAUUCCUUCUAGAGAAUUUUUAACUUCAUUUAUUGUGUUGUUCAUCAUUGUUUGUUUGCUCUUUAGUUCUUCUAAGUCCUUGUCAAACGUUUCUUGUAUUCUCUCCAUUCUAUUUCCAAGAUUUUGAUCAUCUUUACUAUCAUUACUCUGAAUUCUUUUUUCAGGUAGACUGCCUAUUUGCUCUUCAUUUGUUUGGUCUGGUGGGUUUUUACCUUGCUCUUUCAUCUGCUGUGUGUGUCUCUGUCUUCUCAUUUUGCUUAACUUACUAUGUUUGGGGUCUCCUUUUCAUAGGCUGCAGGUUUGUACUUCCCACUGUUUUCAGUGUCUGCCCACAGUGGCUAAGGUUGGUUCAGUGCGUUGUGUAGGCUUCCUGGUGGAAGGGACUAGUGCCUGUGUUCUGGUGGAUGAGGCUGUAUCUUGUCUUUCUGGUGGGCAGGACCGUGUCCGGUGGUGUGUUUUGGGGUGUCUGUGGCCUUAUUAUGAUUUCAGGCAGUCUCUCUGCUGAUGGGUGGAGUUGUGUUCCUGUCUUGCUACUUGUUUGGCAUAGGGGGUCCAGCACUGUAGCUUGCUUGUCGUUGAGUGGAGCUGGGUCUUAUCAUUGAAAUAGAGAGAGCUUUUGCUGUUUGAUAUUAUGUGGGGCCGGGAGGUCUCUGGUGGACCAAUGCCCUGAACUCGGGUCUCCCACCUCAGAGGCACAGGCCUGAUACCCGGCGGGAGCACCAAGACUCUGUCAGCUAC